CACAUAGGCUGCUAAACACCAGCUGCUCCUAGUGACUCAGAUCUGUGACCUUUGAUCAAUUUAUCUUGUCCUGAUUAACCAAUUUCUAUACUGGAGGGAGGAUGUACUUACAUUUCUUUGUAAGUAUAAAUAUUGAGCAAACAUCUUCUGCAUUUCUGUGCAGUACAAACCUGUGUCUUCAGUGUGUCUUGUAACAACUUCUGUAAAUGAGGCUAGUUUGUUAUAACUGCAAACUAACCUUCUUCCUUUCCAUUUCCCAAAUUCUAUCAAGGACAACAUUAGCAAAGUUUUAUUCUGAAACUAAGAUACUGAUAGGUUGGAAUUGAAGCUGUGUAACUGAACUGGGCUAUUUUUCUUUCUAUUUUUUGAGCACCCAUUUUCUUCUAAUUUUGUUUAAAUGCAUUGAUUUUUUCUUUGGAUUGAUCAAGGAAGGAAAAUAUAAAAAUUAAGCAGUUAUGCUGUGGUGAAUUUAACCUGCUUCUUUUUAGAAAGUAAGACACUUUAUUUUUUGUUCAUUAGAUCUCUCUCUGAGUGGAGAGUUUUUGACUUUUGUUGGAAUUUUUUAGACCUGCAGAUGUAUCUAAUGAACAUGGAGAUCCCUGUGCAAUUACAUUACCAAUUUCCUUCAGAAGCCAUGGAUCAUGACCAAGAAAUACGUCUAUGGAGCAUAAUACAUAAGAGACAGGUAGACAAUGAUUGCUACAUAUAUGUGCAUCUGCUGGGUGAUUGAGCCUGUGCAAUCGUCUGUGUUUCUGCAUAGCUCUUCAGCGGAGAGGCCUUUGAGAAACCUUCCUCCCAGCAUGCUGCUCAUUAACCAGAGGCUCUCCCCAGGGAUCAGGUGGGCUUCUGAAGGUGACUCAGUAAGUCCUGCAAAUGAAGACUAGUAGUCCACCAUCAACAUGCCUGCUAGGAUGUCUUUAAAAGUUUGGCGGCAGAGGCAGCUUCAGUAGACACCAAUUAAGUGCAGGGAAAGAAUAAAACUCCCUUUGGAAUCUGCGUUUAAAAACA
rnacentral:lncRNA from 1 species